GCUGUUGCAAACUCAUGUAGGAGUAAUUAAUGAUGCAGUUAUUGGAUAUAGGUCACUUUUAUAAGUAGAUGUAAACAGGCGGUACAAAAAAUCAGAUAUAUACAUCAAGUCAGUACUAGGCAAAAAGACCUGCAGUGUAAAUGAGGCCUAGAAAUGUAUGUAGAAAUUAAGUUUUUUCACAUUUUAACUGUAAGCAAAGAUAAAUUAAUUUGAAAUAAAGUUCAUGUACUAUAAUUCAAACACAUAACACAAUUUUAUAUCCUUUUCAGAUGCACCAUUCAAUUUUUAAGUCAGUCGGAAAGCCUGCAGUAGAACGCUGCACAACAUGCUGCAGUUUGUUUCACUGCCCCCUUUGCCCCAAAGGCAUGUUUAAACCAAGCAUCCCGUCGAAGCUUCAGCGACAUUUGGAGGUCCACCUAAAAAUGCCAUUACAUUUGAAGAUAAGAAGAUCUGGACAGAUACAUCAAAAGCCCUCCUGCGAGGUGAGGUGUCACCAGUGUUUAGGCUGAAGAAAAGAAGGGUGGAUGACAUUACUAUGGAAGAAGAGCAGCAAGCUGAGGUUUCAGUCAGACCUGCUGAUGUGAGCACACCAGUGGAAGGGAUAGGCUAUUCUCACAGUACCUAUUGGUCAGAUACUGUUGGUGCAGCAGUUAUGGUACAGAAAGACAUUUUUUUAUUUCUGUCUUUUCUAUAGGACUCGGUUGAAGUGCAUAUUCUGCAUGAUUGCAGACAUGCAGCAGAGUGGGUUGAGGCCAAUAAGACACUCUUCUCUGCCAGAGUGGACCUGCCUGAUGUUCUAUACAUGGGGGAGGAGGAACAGGCUGAGGCUGCUCUGCAGUAUAAAAGACUGGGGCAAGAAGACAUGGAUGAGCAGGAAAGGGAAGAAAUCCUGGAGGUCUUCAAAUUCACAUUCUACAACAUUGAGGACGUGGAAAUUUUGUGACAUAGUAGUGGACGAAAACAAUUAUUUGGCAUAUUGUGAAUGUCACAAAGAUGAAUAAUUGAAGGAUAACAGAACAUUUGAUCGUGUUGUGACUUUGUGUGUUCAUGUUUUGUUUUCUCAUUGAGCACUUAAUAAUUCACUUGAACUACACUGUAGAUCUCAAGAGUUUGGGUAGUAGUUGGUGGUAUUUAGGUGCU